AGUUGCGAAGGCGGCUCUCUGGACUGUAACUGACGCUGAGGCACGAAAGCGUGGGGAGCAAACAGGAUUAGAUACCCUGGUAGUCCACGCUGUAAACGAUGAGUACUAGGUGUCGGGGGUUACCCCCUUCGGUGCCGCAGCUAACGCAUUAAGUACUCCGCCUGGGAAGUACGCUCGCAAGAGUGAAACUCAAAGGAAUGGACGGGGACCCGCACAAGUAGCGGAGCAUGUGGUUUAAUUCGAAGCAACGCGAAGAACCUUACCUAAGCUUGACAUCCCAAUGACAUCUCCUUAAUCGGAGAGUUCCCUUCGGGGACAU
rnacentral:rRNA from 1 species